CAUAAAAGCUUGAAGAAGGGAUCCUAGCAGCCCACCAAUCCCCUUCUGGAUCGAGGUGGUUUGCACCGAGGUUGUGGAGCAGACACAUGCUGCCUAUGAAAUCUCUGCAGUCCUGGAUGAAAACCAACAUGCAGCAAAUUUACCUAGAGAAUCUUCUUUCAGAAUGAUCAAUGCAACAUUCACCAAGCCAAAACUUCACACCACCAUCCACCAUUAAGAAAAAGAAUGCAUCAAUGGUGUACCAAUGUGGGGAAAAAUGGCUUAAUUUGGGACCCACAGCUGUGCUACAAAAGGACUGACUUCAGACUUUCAGAU